rnacentral:rRNA from 1 species
AACAAACGCUGGCGGCAUGCCUAACACAUGCAAGUCGAACGAAGCCUUCGGGCUUAGUGGCGCACGGGUGCGUAACGCGUGGGAAUCUGCCCUUUGGUUCGGAAUAACAGUUGGAAACGACUGCUAAUACCGGAUGAUGACGAAAGUCCAAAGAUUUAUCGCCAGAGGAUGAGCCCGCGUAGGAUUAGCUAGUUGGUGUGGUAAAGGCGCACCAAGGCGACGAUCUUUAGCUGGUCUGAGAGGAUGAUCAGCCACACUGGGACUGAGACACGGCCCAGACUCCUGCGGGAGGCAGCAGUGGGGAAUAUUGGACAAUGGCCGAAAGCCUGAUCCAGCAAUGCCGCGUGAGUGAUGAAGGCCCUAGGGUUGUAAAGCUCUUUUACCCGGGAUGAUAAUGACAGUACCGGGAGAAUAAGCCCCGGCUAACUCCGUGCCAGCCGCCGCCGUAA